CUUAAACGACUGAGCCACCCAGGCACCCCUUAAUAUGAUUUUAAGAUUAUUCCUUGCUUCUGCUCGUUUCACAUAAAAUUUCCAGGGUGGUGUUUGGGGGAAAGGACAGAGACUCCCUUCUACGCUGGAGCGGACCACGCCGAACACCCAGUGAGGCACUCCAGGCCCAGGAUGCACUGCGGCACCGUGCCUGGCUUUCAGACUCAUGCCCACAGCUCGCAUCCUCAGCUGUGGAGGCCGGGCUCCGGCAAGUGCUGCGAGGAGCUGCCCCAAGGUCACAGCUGGUGAGUAGCAAAGCAGAGGUGGCUUCCUGUUUUCCAGGGCCAAGUCCUGCAGGCCACUCAUCUUUUAAGAAAGGACAGCUCAAAGGUAGGAAUAACAAGUAUUUAUUCAG